CAAACGCGAUUCAAACUCAACAAAGACAAACACUACCAGGAUGAAAAGAAUAUGGUGUGUGAGAGAGGGUGGACUCAGUUGGCCUACCUCCCAAAUUUGCUGUACUGGUGUUAGAAAUGGGAUUGCGCUGCUGGGAGACUGUUGAAAGUGUGUCACAUCGGGAUUGAAAAACCCCUGACGGUAGUGUGCAAUUUCGGGCCGGGCCCAAUGUAGGCGGAGUCAAACGCGUUUAACCCGAACGCUUCCCGUCUCCUUCAACGUCACCCAAAUUGAGGCACAACGUCAACGAAAGCAAACCUUAAUUGAGCCUAGCCAACAUGGAUAAAAAUAUAGACCAUGAAAUACGCUCUGUACAUUGCAAUGGAAGCACAGUGUGAUUUCACUGAGGAAAACAUUAGGCGGCGGUGGUGCCUAGUUCUCCUGCAGAACUUUCCCAUGCUGUCUGAAGAAGAGAGGUUGAAAGAUCGAAAAAGGUGGCGAAAACAAAACACACUACAGGGAGGUGUGGUAUGAUGAGUGGUAUAGUCUUAAACCAAUGUUUAAAGACUUAAACUGCCCCCCUAUUAGCUAAAUUAAGGUGCAUUAUUGUACACACAUCCCUAGAGUUUCCCUUGCAUUACUUAAUGACCACAAUCAGUUUUCUUUUCUUUCUAGACGAUACUGAAAACAAAACACGACGAGCUGUGAACUGGAAAGCAGAUGUUCUUCUAAGGGACACCCUAGAGGCAGCGAACAUUUAAAGGCAAUGUUUCCCUCCCUAGUGUAAUUGGGAUGGACGGGGAAGACCGCAUUACAAUCCUUAAAGAACUACGGUUGUAUGAUGGCCUGGAAGAAGAGGAAAAUAUUCUCCUCAAGGAACCAUUCAUGUUCCAGAGAGAUUAUGAGAUGUUCUAUGUGGAGGCAGUUGACAACAAGAACAUUACUGUCUUUGCCUCUUUUGAGGAGCAGAAGUGAAGCCAUUUUUGAGGACUAGUCAAACCUUGUUUUUGUCUGCUGUUUCAAUUGUUAAUUGUGUUAUAUUGUUUAGUAAAGAUGACAUAGAAGUCACCCGAGUCUCUGAUCUCUGUACUGGAGCUGGUAUAACUUAAUGUACAAAGCACCUUUCAGCUAUUCAGUAUGUCUACUAUAUAGUUUAGUCUCUCCAUUCUCAUUGGGAAAGUAAAUAGCAUUAUAAAUCAGGGUAGGUAGUAACUGUAUGUGUGUAUGCUCAAUGAAAUAAUAUAAAGUUAACAUUUAUCAACACAAUUUUAACAGUACAUGACAUAAGUCUGUUCACUGCAACAAUAUCAGUAGCUUGUCUAAAGUAUAGCAUGAAGCAAAAAGUGUUACAACACAUCUAGUACCACUUUGUAUAAUUAUUUCUUACAGUUUCAAAAAUGAAAUACGUUUGUAUUCAACGCGUGCCUUGUGCAAACUUGCGUGUUUGUAUUCAGUGUGUGACUGUCAAACCUCAGCUGGACUAAAAAAGGUGGGUGGGGUCAAACGUUUGACUCCGACCACAUUGAGACCGGCCCUGAAUUGCACACUGCAGUCAGGUGUACUUGUCAGGACUUGCACUUUCCAAAGGAAGGGGCAGAGAUUUGCAAAAAUUUCUGUAUUUGAAAUACGAAUUUCAAUUCUGAGUAUUUUGUCAUUUGUAGUACACUGGGCUGAACUAAACUCAAAUGUAUUUUGUAACAAGAUACUUUAGAGAGCUGUAGGUGUAUGUGCAUUUAUACUUUCAAAAUAAAUACUUUUC
ensembl:lncRNA